UGGAGGAAAAAUGAGAGUGUUGUCGUCGGGGUGGUGAAGGGUGGGGUUUUUGUGGCCGUGGUAAGGUUUAAGUAAAGCAAUGUGAAGCAACCACUCCUAUGCAUUUGAUGAUGCGAUAUGGACCAUAAUAUUUUCGAAUGAGUUUGUGGUGAGGCUUGGAAGAGAGGGAAAAUUGUUGGUAUGCUUUUCGUCGUAGUGGCACCCAAUUGUUAAUGUUGAAGACGUAGUCGUGAUUUGUUUGCAAUUUGGGCCAUGCGAUGUUGAGUGUGAGCGAGGGUGGUCUUCAAAUGGUGCAUUAUCUAUGUGCACUCUUGUAAGGUAGUGGCGAGAGCUGGUUCUGUUGUCGUGCUCGAAAUGUAGUCUGAUAUGGAAGGUGGAGGUCGCCCAUAAAGCGCUUGGAAAGGUGUAGUAUUGAUUGCGGUAUGGUAGGACGAGUUAUACCAAAACUCAACAAGGUGUAAGUACUUGUACCAUGUCCUCGGAUGGUCACUUGCGAAGGUAAAUUUCUAAUCCUCUAUUUAUGACUUCCGUUUGACCAUCUGUUUGAGGAUGAUAGGCGGUGCUAAAUUUGAGUUUGGUGCCUUGUAGGUGAAAAUGUUGCUUCCAAAAAAUUACUGAGUAAGAGUGAGUCUCUAUCGAAGAUGAUGGAUUUGGGAAUGUCGUGCAACCUACAAAUCUCAACAGAAAACGGUUAGCCAAUUGGGAUACGGUGAAGGAGGUGGGUAAUGCUAUGAGGUGGACAGAUUUGGACAAAAGAUCACAUAUGACCCAUAUCACCGUGUGGCUAAAUGUGUUAUGAAAUCUGUGGUGAGCUCAUCCCAAAUUUGGGUUGGUGAGGGAUUGGGUUGUAAAAGACCUAAGGGUUUGUUGUUGACUUGUUUAUUUUUUUUGGCAAGGGAGACAUUGUUUGAUGAACGAUUUGACAUCUCUAUACAUCCCUGGCCAAUAUAAGGACGCGGCUAGGCGAGCCACAAUGGCUUUAAGGCCCGAGUGUCCAACAGAGGGGGUGGCAUGGAACUAGUGAAGUAUGGUGGUGUGCAGAGAUUAUAUGGAUGUUAGAUAUAGUCUUCGGUCGAGAUACAAAAGAUCGUUUUGAAAGGUAUAUUCUUUGUUUUGAGAAGCUGUAACUUUGUGUACUUCUUGUUUCCCCAAUUUUGACUGGUAAUAUUUUUUUAAUUGCAAGAGGAUUUCUAGGAUUGGGGAGGAGAUGGCCAAAAAAAUAGAAGUGGGUGACCGAGAGAGGAAAUAAACUGCUUGAUUGUGGCGGUCUGGGCGGUACAAAAUAUAAAAAAUGUAACCAAUGAGUUUGGUGGCCAUUUUUGUUGCUCUAGAGUAGAACAUGCCUUG
rnacentral:lncRNA from 1 species